rnacentral:rRNA from 1 species
UACGAAGGGAGCUAGCGUUGUUCGGAAUCACUGGGCGUAAAGCGCACGUAGGCGGCGCAGCAAGUCAGGGGUGAAAUCCCGGGGCUCAACCCCGGAACUGCCUCUGAAACUGCAGUGCUAGAAUCUUGGAGAGGCGAGUGGAAUUCCGAGUGUAGAGGUGAAAUUCGUAGAUAUUCGGAAGAACACCAGUGGCGAAGGCGACUCGCUGGACAAGUAUUGACGCUGAGGUGCGAAAGCGUGGGGAGCAAACAGGGAU